rnacentral:rRNA from 1 species
AUACGUAGGGGGCGAGCGUUAUCCGGAAUUAUUGGGCGUAAAGAGUACGUAGGCGGGAGAUUAAGCGCAGGGUUUAAGGCAAUGGCUUAACCACUGUAUGCCCUGUGAACUGAUCUUCUUGAGUGCAGGAGGGGAAAGCGGAAUUCCUAGUGUAGCGGUGAAAUGCGUAGAUAUUAGGAGGAACACCAGUGGCGAAGGCGGCUGUCUGGACUGUAACUGACGCUGAGGUACGAAAGUGUGGGGAGCGAACAGGAUUAGAUACCCUGGUAGUCCACACCGUAAACGAUGAUGACUAACCGUCGGCGAUAGACAGCCGGUGGCCAAGCGAAAGCGAUAAGUCAUCCACCUGGGGAGUACGUCGGCAACGAUGAAACUCAAAUGAAUUGACGGGG